rnacentral:rRNA from 1 species
AUUGAACGCUGGCGGCAGGCCUAACACAUGCAAGUCGAGCGGAUGAAGGGAGCUUGCUCCUGGAUUCAGCGGCGGACGGGUGAGUAAUGCCUAGGAAUCUGCCUGGUAGUGGGGGAUAACGUCCGGAAACGGGCGCUAAUACCGCAUACGUCCCGAGGGAGAAAGUGGGGGAUCUUCGGACCUCACGCUAUCAGAUGAGCCUAGGUCGGAUUAGCUAGUUGGUGGGGUAAAGGCCUACCAAGGCGACGAUCCGUAACUGGUCUGAGAGGAUGAUCAGUCACACUGGAACUGAGACACGGUCCAGACUCCUACGGGAGGCAGCAGUGGGGAAUAUUGGACAAUGGGCGAAAGCCUGAUCCAGCCAUGCCGCGUGUGUGAAGAAGGUCUUCGGAUUGUAAAGCACUUUAAGUUGGGAGGAAGGGCAGUAAGCUAAUACCUUGCUGUUUUGACGUUACCAACAGAAUAAGCACCGGCUAACUUCGUG